rnacentral:ncRNA from 1 species
UUAUCAAGGGGUGCCCGCCAAUUGGGUCGGGCUGAGAUUAUACCCUUCAGACCUGAUGCGGGUAGUGCCGCCGUAGGAAUGAUAAG